rfam:Candidatus Methanomethylophilus alvus Mx1201, complete genome.
GGGCCCGUGGCUUAGCCAGGAUAUAGCGCUGGCCUUCUAAGCCAGACGCCUCGGGUUCG